rnacentral:rRNA from 1 species
GACGAACGCUGGCGGCGUGCCUAAUACAUGCAAGUCGAGCGCAGGAAACUGACGGAACUCUUCGGAGGGAAGGCAGUGGAAUGAGCGGCGGACGGGUGAGUAACACGUAAGGAACCUGCCUCAAGGAUUGGGAUAACUCCGAGAAAUCGGAGCUAAUACCGGAUAGUUCAACGGACCGCAUGGUCCGCUGAUGAAAGGCGCUUCGGCGUCACCUUGAGAUGGCCUUGCGGUGCAUUAGCUAGUUGGUGGGGUAACGGCCCACCAAGGCGACGGUGCAUAGCCGACCUGGGAGGGUGAUCGGCCACACUGGGACUGAGACACGGCCCAGACUCCUACGGGAGGCAGCAGUAGGGAAUCUUCCACAAUGGACGAAAGUCUGAUGGAGCAACGCCGCGUGAGUGAUGAAGGUUUUCGGAUCGUAAAACUCUGUUGUAAGGGAAGAACACGUACGAGAGGGAAUGCUCGUACCUUGACGGUACCUUACGAGAAAGCCACGGCUAACUACGUGCCAGCCGCCGCGGUAA